GCCAACAGGUGGGGCCCACCAGUCGGUCGUCUUCCUCCUCUAGCCAUUGGGGCCGGAGCUCCAACCGCCCCAGCGCCGCCGCCUUCUCCGCUCCAUGUCGGGCCUCCACUCCGCGCCCGCACCUCGCACCCACGUCGCCGCCCUCUCCCCCGCCUCUCCCGCUCUCGCGCGCGCGCUCGCAAGGGGCAGAUUCAAUUUUAAAUCCCCCCUCCCUCUCUCUCUCCACCUCCCACGCCGCCGGCAAAAUAGGGAGCACCCCGGCGCACGUUCGCCACUCCCAAGCCUCAAUAAAGCUCCCCCGCACUCCCCUCCACCUUUUUCCUCUUUCCGCCGCUCGUUCCCGUGCCCUCUAUUGUUCUCACGCCGCUACACCCACCGCCGCCGCCUUUUCCACUCCUCCGGCUGCCGCUCGCCGCCGCUAGCGCCGCCGCCGAGCCGCACCGUCGUCAUCUUCGGGUUCGCACGGCCGAGGGCUACCUCGUCCACCCCUCCUCCAUCGAAUUCCGCCAUCGAAGGCCAUCGUUCGUCGUGUGCCGGGUGUCCUGGAGCUCAGCCGCCGUUCGACGUCGCCCUCCGGUCACUCACCGUCGCCGUUCGUCGUCGUCUCCUCCCGCGUCGCCGGCCGAACACCGAUUUCGCCCGUUUCGUCGAUUCGCGGUUUCUCGAAGACGUUGCUGUGGUUCCAUCAGUGCGAGAGCAAGGCAAGUCAUGCUUUACAUUUGAUCAUAUUGUACCCAAUUUACAAACACCCUGCAUUUCUAUCAAAUGUUGCACUCUUUUACAAUGUCAUGUGGGAUGGGUCCUAUUACUCAGCCAUACAUUGUUUACCUUAUGCCAUUGAUAACUUGGGUAUUAAAAUGACUAGAUAUUAGUUUAGGAGAUGCUUAGCCAUGCUUAGUUCAACUAGUGCACAAAAGGGGAUCUCAUUAAAGCAUAGACUUUGAUUAUUGGCAAUAGCUUUGGAUUAGUGGCACCGUAAUGGUGUUGGCUUAUUAAAAUUCACUACAUGGUGGGCUGUGGGUGCAUGGUUUUAUUGGUCGCACCCAUGGCAGUUAAGGACCGGUUCGCGGGAUGCCCUGGAAGAACUUAUCGUACUUACGACAAGCUAGCGUGGGCAACGACUGGGCUUGUAGUGUAGCUUUUCUCUAGCCGACGUACCCAGGCGAGGGUGGGCGUGAUGGAGUUGGGUCGGCCGGGGUGUCCGGUUGAUCGGCUUCCGGAUUCACUGCGGCAUGAAAGGGGGGCCGCCCGUUGCCUGCUGGGGGCGGGGGCGAACCCUAAGGUGUGGUGCGAUCGGUUAUAGGGGGUUAUGCGAAGGGUCCUGUCACGGCCUCUUUCCGGUAUGUCGUGGUGGCAUGUCGGCG